rnacentral:rRNA from 1 species
UACGUAGGGCGCAAGCGUUGUCCGGAAUUAUUGGGCGUAAAGAGCUCGUAGGCGGUUUGUCGCGUCUGCUGUGAAAACCUAAGGCUCAACCUUGGGCUUGCAGUGGGUACGGGCAGACUAGAGUGCGGUAGGGGUGACUGGAAUUCCUGGUGUAGCGGUGAAAUGCGCAGAUAUCGGGAAGAACACCCGUGGCGAAGGCGGCUCUCUGGGACGGUACUGACGCUGAGACGCGAAAGCGUGGGGAGCGAACAGG